UACGGAAGGCAGCAGUGGGGAAUAUUGCACAAUGGGCGAAAGCCUGAUGCAGCUAUGCCGCGUGUAUGAAGAAGGCCUUAGGGUUGUAAAGUACUUUCAUCGGGGAGGAAAAACAAAACUAAUAAUUUUAUUUCUUGACGUUACCCGAAAAAGAAGCACCGGCUAACUCCGUGCCAGCAGCCGCGGUAAUACGGAGGGUGCUAGCGUUAAUCAGAAUUACUGGGCGUAAAGAGCACGUAGGUGGUUUUUUUAAGUCAGAUGUGAAAUCCCUGGGCUUAACCUAGGAACUGCAUUUUGAAACUGAAAUACUAGAGUAUCGUAGAGGGAGGUAGAAUUCUAGGUGUAGCGGUGAAAUGCGUAGAUAUCUGGAGGAAUACCUGUGGCGAAAGCGGCCUCCUAAACGAAUACUGACACUGAGGUGCGAAAGCGUGGGGAGCGAAACGAGGGAUUAGACUA
rnacentral:rRNA from 1 species